UACAGAGGUCCCAAGCGUUGUUCGGAUUCACUGGGCGUAAAGGGUGCGUAGGCGGUCGGGUAAGUCUGAUGUGAAAUCUCACAGCUUAACUGUGAAACUGCAUUGGAUACUAUCCGGCUAGAGGAAUGGAGGGGAGACUGGAAUACUUGGUGUAGCAGUGAAAUGCGUAGAUAUCAAGUGGAACACCAGUGGCGAAGGCGAGUCUCUGGACAUUUCCUGACGCUGAGGCACGCAAGCCAGGGGAGCAAACGGG
rnacentral:rRNA from 1 species